GUUUUCAGAGUGCAUCGCAUCCAUUAUCUCCCCUGACCCGCAGACAGGCCGGCGAAGAAGGCUGAUAUGAGGUCACCCAGCCCCCUUCACAACCUUGGACCAGCAAGGCCAUUGCAAUACAAGCCGAGGUUGGGAAGAGUGAGGCUCAGAGACCACAGAGAUACUUUGACACAUGGAAAAAGGCAAGACUUCCUUCCCAGGAGAUUUAUCAUUCUUCAAAAAAAUGGGGUUCUCAAAGAUUCAAGGUAUUUGCUAUUCAUGCUAUUCAUGCAAACACGCUUGCACCUUGGUGUUUUAUGGUAAGGAUUCUGGGAACCAUAGGGAAGACCAGAAUCUCCAUUCCUGACACCCGUGUACUGGAAGCCACUCCCCUCGCCUCUCCCAAAUUAAAUCCACUUGGAGCCUCAGAAUGGGACAUUUCUUGGAAUAAGGAUCUCAGUAGACAUAAUUAGAGUAAGGGAGAGAUGACCUCAUCCUGGAG
rnacentral:lncRNA from 1 species